rnacentral:sRNA from 1 species
UACGCGUUGUUUGGUGUUUUGCUGUUGUUGUUGUUUCUGUUGUUGUGGCUGCUGCUGUUGCUGUUGUUUUUUCAGCUAAGGUGAGGGGCCAUAGACACACUUAAGUAAAGUUAAAUAUUUGCACAAAUUAAAACCGAAAAUAGCUGAAGCGAUGAGAAAGUUUCAGGAGACUAAACCGCAGCACAACACACUGGUAGAGAACACCGACGGCAAUUGCUUCGAUACGAUACGAUACGAUAUUUGCAUAUGUGGAGAUGGAGGGGCCGGAGACGAGGCAGGGCGAGUGCAUAAAUAAAUAAUGCAAAACCGUUGACCGACAAAAAAUUUUGGUAUUGCAAAAGGAAUAUCACAGUCCUUUCUGCAAGUAAUUGUUCACUCCUUCCUGUACUUUAUUUCUCUAUAUAUUUUAUUUGUAUUUUUUAAGCCUCGGAGUCUACCGGCGUUUCUCGGAGCAGGAGGAGGUGGAGGUGCUGGUGGCGGGGAGCCUGCGGUGCUGCCUCUGCGGGCUAUAUAGAAGCCGACGCCAGCGACACCGACAACGACAACGAAGGCAGCGGCUGAGGCGGCGGCGACAACGAAAGCUCCAGAGAGACGGACAGCGAGACGAUCGCCGGGGAAUUCUCGGUGUCGUUAACACAACAGUUCGGCUCGGAUCGGAUCGGCCGUUGGUUGGCCGCUGAUUCGCGCCUCGGAUCAUUUCGGAUCGCUGCUUCGUACCCUCCUCUUAUCGGCGGAGAUUAAGCGACUACUAUAUAUAUGUAUGUAUGUACAUACAUAUGUGUACAAUACAUCUGUACAUAAAUCCAUGUGUACAUAUAAUUCAAAUUGUUUAAUGGCCCACUAAAUGUGUACAUAUAUAUAAUCUGUAUAUAGAACGCGUAUUUGUCUGUGGCUUUGUAUG